CGUGAGUAACCUGCCCUUAACUCUGGGAUAAGCCUGGGAAACUGGGUCUAAUACCGGAUAGGAGCGUCCACCGCAUGGUGGGUGUUGGAAAGAUUUAUCGGUUUUGGAUGGACUCGCGGCCUAUCAGCUUGUUGGUGAGGUAAUGGCUCACCAAGGCGACGACGGGUAGCCGGCCUGAGAGGGUGACCGGCCACACUGGGACUGAGACACGGCCCAGACUCCUACGGGAGGCAGCAGUGGGGAAUAUUGCACAAUGGGCGAAAGCCUGAUGCAGCGACGCCGCGUGAGGGAUGACGGCCUUCGGGUUGUAAACCUCUUUCAGUAGGGAAGAAGCGAAAGUGACGGUACCUGCAGAAGAAGCACCGGCUAACUACGUGCCAGCAGCCGCGGUAAUACGUAGGGUGCGAGCGUUAUCCGGAAUUAUUGGGCGUAAAGAGCUCGUAGGCGGUUUGUCGCGUCUGUCGUGAAAGUCCGGGGCUUAACCCCGGAUCUGCGGUGGGUACGGGCAGACUAGAGUGCAGUAGGGGAGACUGGAAUUCCUGGUGUAGCGGUGGAAUGCGCAGAUAUCAGGAGGAACACCGAUGGCGAAGGCAGGUCUCUGGGCUGUAACUGACGCUGAGGAGCGAAAGCAUGGGGAGCGAACAGGAUUAGAUACCCUGGUAGUCCAUGCCGUAAACGUUGGGCACUAGGUGUGGGGACCAUUCCACGGUUUCCGCGCCGCAGCUAACGCAUUAAGUGCCCCGCCUGGGGAGUACGGCCGCAAGGCUAAAACUCAAAGGAAUUGACGGGGGCCCGCACAAGCGGCGGAGCAUGCGGAUUAAUUCGAUGCAACGCGAAGAACCUUACCAAGGCUUGACAUGUUCUCGAUCGCCGUAGAGAUACGGUUUCCCCUUUGGGGCGGGUUCACAGGUGGUGCAUGGUUGUCGUCAGCUCGUGUCGUGAGAUGUUGGGUUAAGUCCCGCAACGAGCGCAACCCUCGUUCCAUGUUGCCAGCACGUAAUGGUGGGGACUCAUGGGAGACUGCCGGGGUCAACUCGGAGGAAGGUGAGGACGACGUCAAAUCAUCAUGCCCCUUAUGUCUUGGGCUUCACGCAUGCUACAAUGGCCGGUACAAUGGGUUGCGAUACUGUGAGGUGGAGCUAAUCCCAAAAAGCCGGUCUCAGUUCGGAUUGGGGUCUGCAACUCGACCCCAUGAAGUCGGAGUCGCUAGUAAUCGCAGAUCAGCAACGCUGCGGUGAAUACGUUCCCGGGCCUUGUAC
rnacentral:rRNA from 1 species